UAGCCACACAGGGAUCAUUUCUAUAGUUUGUUACUAGAGAAGUCUCUCUGAAUGUGUAGCGCACCGAAAACCAUGAGGAGGAGGUGUAGCGUUUUCUUCUGAGCGUGAAGUUGGCAUUUGGUGUUGCAGUUGCCAUGAAGCGUUUUUAAGGAGCACAAAAGCCAAGAGCAUGUCUCCUUAUCUUGAGAGCUGAAAAAAGCAACAACGGACAAAAUGCCUAAUUGGC